rnacentral:rRNA from 1 species
GACGUAGGUGGCGAACGUUAUCCGGAAUUACUGGGCGUAAAGGGUCCGCAGGCGGUCUUAAAGGUCUGACGUGAAAGCUCCUGGCUUAACUAGGAGAGGCCGUUGGAAACCGUAAGACUAGACUCACGCAGAGGUCGGUGGAAUUCCCGGUGUAGUGGUGGAAUGCGUAGAGAUCGGGAGGAACCCCAAAAGCGAAGGCAGCCGGCUGGGUGAUGAGUGACGCUGAGGGACGAAAGCGUAGGGAGCAAACAGG